AUGGGUCACAGGCUUCUCCACUGUGUGGCCCUGUGUCUCCUUGGAGCGGGUCACGCAGGGGCCGUGGUCAUCCAGAACCCGAGAUACCAGGUUACCAUCGUGGGACAGCCAGUGACCCUGAAUUGCUCUCAGGACCUGAAUCAUGACGCCAUGUACUGGUACCAACAGAAGCUGAGCCAAGGCCCCAAGCUGCUGUUCUACUACUACGGUCAGGAAUUUAACAACGAAACAGACACCUCGGGCAACUUCCAGCCCAGCCGCACUGACUCCUUCUCUUCCCUUGGCAUCCGCUCGCCGGGCUUGGGGGACUCCGCCGUGUACCUCUGUGCCAGCAGCUUCAUGGGAAAACUGAGGCCUGCGCAGCAUUUCGGAGCUGGGACUCGACUCUCUGUCCUAGACGACGUGACCAAGGUGAAACCCCCCACGGUCACCGUGUUUGAACCGUCGGAAGCAGAGAUCAGCCGGACCCAGAAGGCCACGCUCGUGUGCCUGGCCACGGGCUUCUACCCCGACCACGUGGAGCUGAGCUGGUGGGUGAACGGGAAGCAGGCCAAGAGCGGGGUCGGCACAGACCCUCAGCCCUACAAGGAGCAGCCCGACCGCAGCGACUCCACCUACUGUCUGAGCAGCAGGCUGAGGGUCUCUGCCUCCUUCUGGCACAAUCCUCGCAACCACUUCCGCUGCCAAGUCCAGUUCUACGGGCUGGACAGCGACUACAAGGACUCUUGGAAGGAGAACCGCACCAUGCCCGUCACCCAGAAUGUCAGUGCUGAGACCCGGGGCAGAGCAGAGUGUGGCUUCACCUCGGAGUCCUAUCAGCAAGGGGUCCUGUCUGCCACCCUCCUCUAUGAGAUCCUGCUGGGGAAGGCCACGGUGUAUGCGGUGCUGGUCAGCGCCCUGGUGCUGAUGGCCAUGGUAAGGAGGGGUGCAGGGUGGGCAGGCAGUUUGGAGGUCAAGAAGAAGGGCUCCUGA